rnacentral:rRNA from 1 species
GAUGAACGCUGGCGGCGUGCCUAAUACAUGCAAGUCGAGCGAACGGACGAGGAGCUUGCUCCUCUGACGUUAGCGGCGGACGGGUGAGUAACACGUGGAUAACCUACCUAUAAGACUGGGAUAACUUCGGGAAACCGGAGCUACUACCGGAUAAUAUAUUGAACCGCAUGGUUCAAUAGUGAAAGACGGUUUUGCUGUCACUUAUAGAUGGAUCCGCGCUGCAUUAGCUAGUUGGUAAGGUAACGGCUUACCAAGGCAACGAUGCGUAGCCGACCUGAGAGGGUGAUCGGCCACACUGGAACUGAGACACGGUCCAGACUCCUACGGGAGGCAGCAGUAGGGAAUCUUCCGCAAAGGGCGAAAGCCUGACGGAGCAACGCCGCGUGAGUGAUGAAGGUCUUCGGAUCGUAAAACUCUGUUAUUAGGGAAGAACAGAUGUGUAAGUAACUAUGCACGUCUUGACGGUACCUAAUCAGAAAGCCACGGCUAACUACGUG